rnacentral:rRNA from 1 species
ACGAAGUCUUCGGACUUAGUGGCGGACGGGUGAGUAACACGUGGGAACGUGCCCUUUGGUACGGAAUAACUCAGGGAAACUUGAGCUAAUACCGUAUGUGCCCUUCGGGGGAAAGAUUUAUCGCCAUUGGAGCGGCCCGCGUCUGAUUAGCUAGUUGGUGGUGUAAUGGACCACCAAGGCGACGAUCAGUAGCUGGUCUGAGAGGAUGAUCAGCCACAUUGGGACUGAGACACGGCCCAAACUCCUACGGGAGGCAGCAGUGGGGAAUCUUGCGCAAUGGGCGAAAGCCUGACGCAGCCAUGCCGCGUGAAUGAUGAAGGUCUUAGGAUUGUAAAAUUCUUUCACCGGGGACGAUAAUGACGGUACCCGGAGAAGAAGCCCCGGCUAACUUCGUGCCAGCAGCCGCGGUAAUACGAAGGGGGCUAGCGUUGCUCGGAAUUACUGGGCGUAAAGGGAGCGUAGGCGGACAUUUAAGUCAGGGGUGAAAUCCCGGGGCUCAACCUCGGAAUUGCCUUUGAUACUGGGUGUCUUGAGUAUGAGAGAGGUGUGUGGAACUCCGAGUGUAGAGGUGAAAUUCGUAGAUAUUCGGAAGAACACCAGUGGCGAAGGCGACACACUGGCUCAUUACUGACGCUGAGGCUCGAAAGCGUGGGGAGCAAACAGGAUUAGAUACCCUGGUAGUCCACGCCGUAAACGAUGAUUGCUAGUUGUCGGGAUGCAUGCAUUUCGGUGACGCAGCUAACGCAUUAAGCAAUCCGCCUGGGGAGUACGGUCGCAAGAUUAAAACUCAAA